ACGCUGGCGGCAUGCCUAACACAUGCAAGUCGAACGGAACUUGUUGAAUGAAGUUUUCGGAUGGAUUUUAGCAAGUUUAGUGGCGGACGGGUGAGUAACGCGUGAGCAACCUGCCUUCAGAGGGGACAACAGUUGGAAACGACUGCUAAUACCGCAUGAUGUGUUUUUCCCGCAUGAGAGAAACACCAAAGAUUUAUCGCACAAAGAUGAGCUCGCGGCUGAUUAGAUAGUUGGCGGGUAACGGCCCACCAAGUCGACGAUCAGUAGCCGGACUGAGAGGUUGAUCGGCCACAUUGGGACUGAGACACGGCCCAGACUCCUACGGGAGGCAGCAGUGGGGGAUAUUGCACAAUGGGGGAAACCCUGAUGCAGCGACGCCGCGUGAGGGAUGAAGGUUUUCGGAUUGUAAACCUCUGUCUUGUGGGACGAUAAUGACGGUACCACAGGAGGAAGCCACGGCUAACUACGUG
rnacentral:rRNA from 1 species